GCCUGGGUGGCUCAGUCGGUUAAGUGUCUGACUUCGUCUCAGGUCAUGAUCUAACGGUUCGCGGGUUCGAGCCCCGCGUCAGGCU
rnacentral:tRNA from 1 species